rnacentral:misc_RNA from 1 species
AGGCUGAGCGGGUUAUGGUUGAGGUGCGCUUUUUGAUUGCUUUUCUAAUCGUUUCAUAAUCUAUUGUUUUCAAUUUUGUUGUCUAAAUCAAUCUUUGGCACCGGCAAGAGUCGAAUUUUACCUGUGAUUUUGCACUAUUAGCUUCUACAGUUCCAAAUUCAUGGGUUAUAAGUUAUUGAUUGUCUGUUAGGAAUUGAAAAUGAUCACACACUGUAUAGGCAUUCUUGAUUUGGUAUGAAUUCUUGUACUUAUCUGCAUGCAUACUUUUGUUUAAAUGGGGAUAGGGAAUUUAGUUUUGAAUGGGUGGGAUUUUCUGUUGAGUACUUACUUUGAUGCGUAUGUGUAUCAGUCAAAUAUUCAAACGUGAUGGAGGUAGAUCACUAGUCAUGUAAAUGUGCUUUGGUAUGCAUCUCUCUAUAUUAUUAUCCUUCCUCUUAACCAACACCCCAGGACUCGAAUAAGGACUAUUACUCUCCAGAAUUACCCCGUUUUAACAUGUCCUUAACCAUAUCUUCAAUAACAUUUUUCUGGGUCUAAGCAUACCUGUAUGGCCUGCUGUUAACCGGCUGCGAACCAGGCUUAAUUGGUAUCUUAUGAUCAUGAGAUCACAGAGGCAGCAACCCUUUAGGCUUCUGAAAUAUAUCUUCAUAUUGCUGCAAUAAUUCUUGCAACUCAGGCCAAUGUUACAUAUGUUGUAAUUGGACUGAAAACAUUGUCCAAUACUUUGUGACUCACUCUCAAUCAUGGUUUCGCGAUUGCGGAUAACUGAAAUAGGCCUAUAACGGCCGUAAUGUGG